UACAGAGGGUGCGAGCGUUAAUCGGAAUUACUGGGCGUAAAGCGUGCGUAGACGGUUAUGUAAGUCGGGUGUGAAAGCCCCGGGCUCAACCUGGGAAUUGCAUUCGAGACUGCAUAGCUAGGAUGCGGAAGAGGGAAGUGGAAUUUCCGGUGUAGCGGUGAAAUGCGUAGAUAUCGGAAGGAACAUCAGUGGCGAAAGCGACUUCUUGGUCCAGCAUCGACGUUCAGGCACGAAAGCGUGGGGAGCAAACAGG
rnacentral:rRNA from 1 species